UACGUAGGGGGCAAGCGUUGUCCGGAUUUAUUGGGCGUAAAGAGCGUGUAGGCGGUUUGGUAGGUCCGCUGUGAAAACUCGAGGCUCAACCUCGAGACGCCGGUGGAAACCAUCAGGCUAGAGUCCGGAAGAGGAGAGUGGAAUUCCUGGUGUAGCGGUGAAAUGCGCAGAUAUCAGGAGGAAUACCGAUGGCGAAGGCAGCCCCCUGGGUCGAUACUGACGCUCAUGCACGAAAGCGUGGGGAGCAAACAGG
rnacentral:rRNA from 1 species